rnacentral:rRNA from 1 species
UACGGAGGGUGCAAGCGUUAUCCGGAUUCACUGGGUUUAAAGGGUGCGUAGGUGGGCAGGUAAGUCAGUGGUGAAAUCUCCGGGCUUAACCCGGAAACUGCCAUUGAUACUAUCAGUCUUGAAUACCGUGGAGGUAAGCGGAAUAUGUCAUGUAGCGGUGAAAUGCUUAGAUAUGACAUAGAACACCAAUUGCGAAGGCAGCUUACUACCCGAAUAUUGACACUGAGGCACGAAAGCGUGGGGGAUCAA